UACGGAGGGUGCGAGCGUUGUCCGGAAUCAUUGGGCGUAAAGGGCGCGUAGGUGGCCUGCUAAGCGUGCGGUGAAAGCUCGGGGCUCAACCCCGAGUCGGCCGUGCGAACUGGUGGGCUUGAGCACUGUAGAGGCAGGCGGAAUUCCGGGUGUAGCGGUGGAAUGCGUAGAGAUCCGGAAGAACACCGGUGGCGAAGGCGGCCUGCUGGGCAGUAGCUGACACUGAGGCGCGAAAGCGUGGGGAGCAAACAGG
rnacentral:rRNA from 1 species